rnacentral:rRNA from 1 species
UGGGGAAUAUUGGACAAUGGGCGCAAGCCUGAUCCAGCCAUGCCGCGUGAGUGAUGAAGGCCCUAGGGUUGUAAAGCUCUUUCACCGGUGAAGAUAAUGACGGUAACCGGAGAAGAAGCCCCGGCUAACUUCGUGUCAGCAGCCGCGGUAAUACGAAGGGGGCUAGCGUUGUUCGGAUUUACUGGGCGUAAAGCGCACGUAGGCGGACUAUUAAGUCAGGGGUGAAAUCCCGGGGCUCAACCCCGGAACUGCCUUUGAUACUGGUAGUCUUGAGUUCGAGAGAGGUGAGUGGAAUUCCGAGUGUAGAAGUGAAAUUCGUAGAUAUUCGGAGGAACACCAGUGGCGAAGGCGGCUCACUGGCUCGAUACUGACGCUGAGAUGCGAAAGCGUGGGGAGCAAACAGG